rnacentral:rRNA from 1 species
GAGUUUGAUCCUGGCUCAGGAUAAACGCUGGCGGCGCACAUAAGACAUGCAAGUCGAACGAACUUAAUUUUAAUGUUUACAUUAAAAAGCGGUUAGUGGCGGACUGGUGAGUAACGCGUAAGCAAUCUGCCUAUUAGAGGGGAAUAACAGUGAGAAAUCACUGCUAAUACCGCAUAUGCCAAAAGCACCCAUGGUUUUUGGGGGAAAGGGUUAUCCAUUAAAAGAGGCCGUCGGUUUGAUAAGUUAGUUGUGGGGGUAAUGCCUUACCAAGGCAAAGGAUCGGUACCCGAAAUGGAGGGUUUAUCGCCCACUUUGGGAUUGAGUUACGGCCCAGAUUCCUACGGGGAGCACCAUUCGGGAAUAUUGCCCAAUGGAGGAAAUUCUGGAGCCAGUGACGCCGCGUAUAGGAAGAAGGUUUUCGGAUUGUAAACUAUUGUCGUUAGGGAAGAUAAAAGCCAGUACCUAAGGAGGAAGCUCCGGCUAACUACGUGCCAGCAGCCGCGGUAAUACGUAGGGAGCAAGCGUUAUCCGGAUUUAUUGGGUGUAAAGGGUGCGUAGACGGGAAAUUAAGUUAGUUGUGAAAUCCCUCGGCUCAACUGAGGAACUGCAACUAAAACUGGUUUUCUUGAGUGCAGGAGAGGUAAGUGGAAUUCCUAGUGUAGCGGUGAAAUGCGUAGAUAUUAGGAGGAACACCAGUGGCGAAGGCGACUUACUGGACUGUAACUGACGUUGAGGCACGAAAGUGUGGGGAGCAAACAGGAUUAGAUACCCUGGUAGUCCACACCGUAAACGAUGGAUACUAGGUGUAGGGUGUAUUAAGCAUUCUGUGCCGUCGCAAACGCAGUAAGUAUCCCACCUGGGGAGUACGGCCGCAAGGUUGAAACUCAAAGGAAUUGACGGGGGCCCGCACAAGCAGUGGAGUAUGUGGUUUAAUUCGAAGCAACGCGAAGAACCUUACCAGGGCUUGACAUAUAGAGGAAUAUAUUAGAGAUAAUAUAGCUCUUCGGAGUCUCUAUACAGGUGGUGCAUGGUUGUCGUCAGCUCGUGUCGUGAGAUGUUGGGUUAAGUCCCGCAACGAGCGCAACCCCUGUUUCUAGUUGCCAGCACAUAAUGGUGGGAACUCUAGAAAGACUGCCGGUGAUAAAUCGGAGGAAGGUGGGGAUGACGUCAAAUCAUCAUGCCCUUUAUGUCCUGGGCUACACACGUACUACAAUGGCCGCUACAGAGGGAAGCAGAGUAGUGAUACUAAGCAAAACCCAAAAAACGGUCUCAGUUCGGAUUGAAGGCUGAAAUUCGCCUUCAUGAAGCUGGAAUUGCUAGUAAUGGCAGGUCAGCAUACUGCCGUGAAUACGUUCCCGGGCCUUGCACACACCGCCCGUC